rnacentral:rRNA from 1 species
UACGUAGGGGGCGAGCGUUGUCCGGAUUUAUUGGGCGUAAAGAGCUCGUAGGCGGCUUAGCAAGUCGGGUGUGAAAACUCCAGGCUCAACCUGGAGACGCCACUCGAGACUGCUAUGGCUAGAGUCCGGUAGGGGACCACGGAAUUCCUGGUGUAGCGGUGAAAUGCGUAGAUAUGCGGAGGAACACCGAUGGCGAAGGCAAUCCCCUGGACCUGUACUGACGCUCAUGCACGAAAGCGUGGGGAGCAAACAGG